rnacentral:rRNA from 1 species
UACGAAGGGGGCUAGCGUUGCUCGGAAUCACUGGGCGUAAAGGGUGCGUAGGCGGGUCUUUAAGUCAGGGGUGAAAUCCUGGAGCUCAACUCCAGAACUGCCUUUGAUACUGAAGAUCUUGAGUUCGGGAGAGGUGAGUGGAACUGCGAGUGUAGAGGUGAAAUUCGUAGAUAUUCGCAAGAACACCAGUGGCGAAGGCGGCUUACUGGUCCGGUUCUGACGCUGAGGAGCGAAAGCGUGGGGAGCGAACAGG